rnacentral:rRNA from 1 species
UACGUAGGGUGCGAGCGUUGCCCGGAUUUAUUGGGCGUAAAGAGCGUGUAGGCGGCCUUACAGGUCAGCUGUGAAAACUCGAGGCUCAACCUCGAGACGUCGGUUGAAACCGUAAGGCUAGAGUCCGGAAGAGGAGAGUGGAAUUCCCGGUGUAGCGGUAAAAUGCGCAGAUAUCGGGAAGAACACCCGUGGCGAAGGCGGCUCUCUGGGACGGUACUGACGCUGAGACGCGAAAGCGUGGGGAGCGAACAGG